rnacentral:rRNA from 1 species
GACGAACGCUGGCGGCGUGCUUAACACAUGCAAGUCGAACGGAAAGGCCCUGCUUUUGUGGGGUGCUCGAGUGGCGAACGGGUGAGUAACACGUGAGUAACCUGCCCUUGACUUUGGGAUAACUUCAGGAAACUGGGGCUAAUACCGGAUAGGAGCUCCUGCUGCAUGGUGGGGGUUGGAAAGUUUCGGCGGUUGGGGAUGGGCUCGCGGCUUAUCAGCUUGUUGGUGGGGUAGUGGCUUACCAAGGCUUUGACGGGUAGCCGGCCUGAGAGGGUGACCGGCCACAUUGGGACUGAGAUACGGCCCAGACUCCUGCGGGAGGCAGCAGUGGGGAAUAGUGCACAAUGGGCGGAAGCCUGAUGCAGCAACGCCGCGUGCGGGAUGACGGCCUUCGGGUUGUAAACCGCUUUCGCCUGUGACGAAGCGUGAGUGACGGUAAUGGGUAAAGAAGCACCGGCUAACUACGUG